UACGGAGGGUGCGAGCGUUAAUCGGAAUUACUGGGCGUAAAGCGCGCGUAGGCGGCCAUACAAGUCGAGUGUGAAAUCCCCGGGCUCAACCUGGGAACUGCAUUCGAGACUGUAUGGCUUGAGUAUGGGAGAGGGAGGCGGAAUUUCAGGUGUAGCGGUGAAAUGCGUAGAUAUCUGAAGGAACAUCAGUGGCGAAAGCGGCCUCCUGGACCAAUACUGACGCUCAUGUGCGAAAGCGUGGGGAGCAAACAGGAUUAGAUACCCUGGUAGU
rnacentral:rRNA from 1 species